CUACGGGAGGCAGCAGUGGGGAAUAUUGCACAAUGGGCGAAAGCCUGAUGCAGCGACGCCGCGUGAAGGAAGAAGUAUUUCGGUAUGUAAACUUCUAUCAGCAGGGAAGAAAAUGACGGUACCUGACUAAGAAGCCCCGGCUAACUACGUGCCAGCAGCCGC
rnacentral:rRNA from 1 species